ensembl:lncRNA
GUUACAGAAGUGUUGGUCUUCAGCUCAGCUGCAGCUAUGCCUCUCUCUGGCUUUGAACACUGCUGAUUUUGGACCCCAGCCUGUGGAUUGACUUUCUGACUCAACCUCAGACUUCCUUCAUCACCACAUUUUUGCUAAUGGACUGGGUGCUUGGCUGCCAUCCCCAAACCUGUCCUGCUUGCUGUGCUUGGUUGCUGCAAGGCUGUACUCUGACAGUGAGGCACCUGCCAUGUCAGCUGCAUUGUGCUUGGCUCCUGGCUCCCCAUCUUUCAGAUAUCCUUAAAUCAAAGUCACACAGGGAGGG